rnacentral:lncRNA from 1 species
UUACCUCGACUUGAAACCCGACUUCGACCCCAAUCCCAACCCCGAAUCCUAACCAUGACCCCAAUUCAAAACUCAACUCUCGACUCAAAAACUCACCCUCGACCCAACGUGGGACCCGACUCUUGACCCCAAAUUGGAGUCACAUGUGGUCAUGGCUCGAUGAGUAUCCAAUUUUGGAUCAAAAUCAAGGUCAAGGUUAGAACGAGUUGGCGUCGUGUCCUGAACAUGGCUUGGGUUAGUGUUUGGUUCUAGGUUGGGGUUAGGCAAGAAUCGAGAGUAGGAUUAAGAGUUGAGAUUAAGAAUUGUGUCU